GACGAACGCUGGCGGCGUGCUUAACACAUGCAAGUCGAACGAUGAAGCCGGAGCUUGCUCCGGUGGAUUAGUGGCGAACGGGUGAGUAACACGUGAGCAAUCUGCCCUUGACUCUGGGAUAACUGCGGGAAACUGUAGCUAAUACCGGAUACGACACCUUGGGGCAUCCUAGGGUGUGGAAAGAAUUUCGGUCAAGGAUGAGCUCGCGGCCUAUCAGCUAGUUGGUGAGGUAAUGGCUCACCAAGUCGACGACGGGUAGCCGGCCUGAGAGGGUGACCGGCCACACGGGAACUGAGACACGGUCCAGACUCCUACGGGAGGCAGCAGUGGGGAAUAUUGCACAAUGGGCGAAAGCCUGAUGCAGCAACGCCGCGUGAGGGAUGAAGGCCUUCGGGUUGUAAACCUCUUUUAGCAGGGAAGAAGCGAAAGUGACGGUACCUGCAGAAAAAGCACCGGCUAACUACGUGCCAGCCGCCGCGGUAA
rnacentral:rRNA from 1 species